rnacentral:rRNA from 1 species
GGCCGCAGUAUAUUAACUGUGCAAAGGUAGCAUAAUCAUUAGUCUUUUAAUUGAAGGCUGGAAUGAAUGGUUGGACAAAAUAUUAACUGUUUCAUAUUAAUUUAUAAUAGAAUUUUAUUUUUUAGUUAAAAAGCUAAAAUUUAUUUAAAAGACGAGAAGACCCUAUAAAUCUUUAUAUUUAUAAUUAUUAUAAUUUUUUAGAAAUAUUUAAUUAUUAUAGUUUAAAAUAUUUUAUUGGGGUGAUAUUAAAAUUUAAUAAACUUUUAAUUUAUUUUAUCAUUAAUAUAUGAAUAAUUGAUCCGUUAUUAACGAUUAAAAAAAUAAGUUACUUUAGGGAUAACAGCGUAAUUUUUUUGGAGAGUUCAUAUUAAUAAAAAAGAUUGCGACCUCGAUGUUGGAUU